AUUUUGAAACGCUUGAUAGACGAUCUACUCGAAGGCUGAUAAUGAAAUUAGAACUCUGUAUGUGACAACGAUAACAUCGCUUACAGUCUGUUUCAAGCCGCAUCGUUCCUCGUAGCACACUCAACUGUACACUGGCGCACUGAGAAGAUCGCUCACUUUUCUUAUGUUUUUGGGAAUCAUCAUUUGGAGUUUUUCAAAGGCUGCUAAUGCUCCACUCCAAAUUGUAGUCCUACGAAGAUCGAGUACAGCUGAUGGCUCGUGUCGAACCACGUGGGCACUGACCACGUCGCCAUCAGCAAUGAAACAAUCGCUCAAUUGUCCGAACGAUAUGGGGAAGUGUAACGUGAACGAACGCCGGAAAGUCAUUGUCCUGUGACAUAAUACCAUGGAGGAAGAAAAGAAAGAAAAAACGGAAAUGAAUUUUGAGAAAAUUACUACGCAGCUAAAUCGUUGAGCUAAACAAAACUAGAGAAAAACAAGUCGGAAAAAACAAUUGUGUAAUGGCAUACAACGGUAUUUUUCAACGUUCAAAACAUUUUUAGUUUUCAAAGUAAAGUUUCCAUUCCUAUUGAUAGAAAACGAUGAGAAUCUUUAAUUUAGUUCGAUACAAUUAACGUAAUUUUCGUUGGUGCUCAAUUCAAAAUAUACUUGUAGUACGAGAGCACCAAGAAAAAAAAUAAACGACUUAAUUGCCAAUUAAAAA